rnacentral:rRNA from 1 species
UACGGGGGGGGGCAAGCGUUGUUCGGAAUUACUGGGCGUAAAGGGCGCGUAGGCGGCGUGUCAAGUCAGGCGUGAAAGCCCCGGGCUCAACCUGGGAACCGCGCUUGAGACUGGCAUGCUCGAGUUCGGGAGAGGAUGGUGGAAUUCCCAGUGUAGAGGUGAAAUUCGUAGAUAUUGGGAAGAACACCGAUGGCGAAGGCAGCCAUCUGGACCGACACUGACGCUGAGGCGCGAAAGCGUGGGGAGCAAACGGG